CCUACGGGAGGCUGCAGUGGGGAAUAUUGCGCAAUGGGCGAAAGCCUGACGCAGCGACGCCGCGUGAGGGAUGAAGGUCUUCGGAUCGUAAACCUCUGUCAGCAGGGAAGAACGGUCACUGUGCUAAUCAGCAGUGAAUUGCCGGUACCUGCAAAGGAAGCACCGGCUAACUCCGUGCCAGCAGCCGCGGUAAUACGGAGGGUGCGAGCGUUAAUCGGAAUUACUGGGCGUAAAGCGCUCGUAGGCGGUAUGUCAAGUAAAGGGUGAAAUCCCCGCGCUCAACGUGGGAACUGCCUUUGAAGCUGGCAAACUGGGGUGUGUGAGAGGAUAGUGGAAUUCCAGGGGGAGGAGUGAAAUCCGUAGAUAUCUGGAGGAACAUCAGUGGCGAAGGCGACUAUCUGGCACAUAACUGACGCUGAGGAGCGAAAGCGUGGGUAGCAAACAGGAUUAGAUACCCUAGUAGUC
rnacentral:rRNA from 1 species